rnacentral:rRNA from 1 species
GACGAACGUUGGCGGCGUGCUUAACACAUGCAAGUCGAACGGAAAGGCCCUGCUUUUGUGGGGUGCUCGAGUGGCGAACGGGUGAGUAACACGUGAGUAACCUGCCCUUGACUUUGGGAUAACUUCAGGAAACUGGGGCUAAUACCGGAUAGGAGCUCCUGCUGCAUGGUGGGGGUUGGAAAGUUUCGGCGGUUGGGGAUGGACUCGCGGCUUAUCAGCUUGUUGGUGGGGUAGUGGCUUACCAAGGCUUUGACGGGUAGCCGGCCUGAGAGGGUGACCGGCCACAUUGGGACUGAGAUACGGCCCAGACUCCUACGGGAGGCAGCAGUGGGGAAUAUUGCACAAUGGGCGGAAGCCUGAUGCAGCAACGCCGCGUGCGGGAUGACGGCCUUCGGGUUGUAAACCGCUUUCGCCUGUGACGAAGCGUGAGUGACGGUAAUGGGUAAAGAAGCACCGGCUAACUACGUGCCAGCAGCCGCGGUGAUACGUAGGGUGCGAGCGUUGUCCGGAUUUAUUGGGCGUAAAGGGCUCGUAGGUGGUUGAUCGCGUCGGAAGUGUAAUCUUGGGGCUUAACCCUGAGCGUGCUUUCGAUACGGGUUGACUUGAGGAAGGUAGGGGAGAAUGGAAUUCCUGGUGGAGCGGUGGAAUGCGCAGAUAUCAGGAGGAACACCAGUGGCGAAGGCGGUUCUCUGGGCCUUUCCUGACGCUGAGGAGCGAAAGCGUGGGGAGCGAACAGGCUUAGAUACCCUGGUAGUCCACGCUGUAAACGGUGGGUACUAGGUGUGGGGUCCAUUCCACGGGUUCCGUGCCGUAGCUAACGCUUUAAGUACCCCGCCUGGGGAGUACGGCCGCAAGGCUAAAACUCAAAGGAAUUGACGGGGCCCCGCACAAGCGGCGGAGCAUGCGGAUUAAUUCGAUGCAACGCGUAGAACCUUACCUGGGUUUGACAUGGAUCGGGAGUGCUCAGAGAUGGGUGUGCCUCUUUUGGGGUCGGUUCACAGGUGGUGCAUGCCUGUCGUCAGCUCGUGUCGUGAGAUGUUGGGUUAAGUCCCGCAACGAGCGCAACCCUUGUUCACUGUUGCCAGCACGUUAUGGUGGGGACUCAGUGGAGACCGCCGGGGUCAACUCGGAGGAAGGUGGGGAUGACGUCAAGUCCUCAUGCCCCUUAUGUCCAGGGCUUCACGCAUGCUACAAUGGCUGGUACAGAGAGUGGCGAGCCUGUGAGGGUGAGCGAAUCUCGGAAAGCCGGUCUCAGUUCGGAUUGGGGUCUGCAACUCGACCUCAUGAAGUCGGAGUCGCUAGUAAUCGCAGAUCAGCAACGCUGCGGUGAAUACGUUCCCGGG